UUGAACGCUGGCGGCAGGCCUCACACAUGCAAGUCGAGCGGAUGAAGGGAGCUUGCUCCUGGAUUCAGCGGCGGACGGGUGAGUAAUGCCUAGGAAUCUGCCUGGUAGUGGGGGAUAGCGUCCGGAAACGGGCGCUAAUACCGCAUACGUCCUGAGGGAGAAAGUGGGGGAUCUUCGGACCUCACGCUAUCAGAUGAGCCUAGGUCGGAUUAGCUAGUUGGUGGGGUAAAGGCCUACCAAGGCGACGAUCCGUAACUGGUCUGAGAGGAUGAUCAGUCACACUGGAACUGAGACACGGUCCAGACUCCUACGGGAGGCAGCAGUGGGGAAUAUUGGACAAUGGGCGAAAGCCUGAUCCAGCCAUGCCGCGUGUGUGAAGAAGGUCUUCGGAUUGUAAAGCACUUUAAGUUGGGAGGAAGGGCAGUAAGUUAAUACCUUGCUGUUUUGACGUUACCAACAGAAUAAGCACCGGCUAACUUCGUG
rnacentral:rRNA from 1 species